CCUACGGGAGGCAGCAGUGAGGAAUAUUGGUCAAUGGGCGGGAGCCUGAACCAGCCAAGCCGCGUGAGGGAAGAAGGUACAGCGUAUCGUAAACCUCUUUUGUCAGGGAACAAAGGCGGGGACUAGUCCCCGGAUGAGGGUACCUGAAGAAAAAGCAUCGGCUAACUCCGUGCCAGCAGCCGCGGUAAUACGGAGGAUGCGAGCGUUAUCCGGAUUUAUUGGGUUUAAAGGGUGCGUAGGCGGCCUUUUAAGUCAGCGGUGAAAGUCUGUGGCUCAACCAUAGAAUUGCCGUUGAAACUGGGAGGCUUGAGUAUGUUUGAGGCAGGCGGAAUUCGUGGUGUAGCGGUGAAAUGCUUAGAUAUCACGAAGAACUCCGAUUGCGAAGGCAGCUUACUAAACUGCCACUGACAUUGAUGCUCGAAAGUGUGGGUAUCAAACAGGAUUAGAUACCCCUGUAGUU
rnacentral:rRNA from 1 species